UGACUUUGUGGAUGGAGUGACUGCCUCACUUAAAAUUUCAAGGAGAUUGCCAUCUUGAAAGAACAGGAGAUGAAGGAUGAAGGCCAAAAUUUUGGUGAUCAUCAUGAUAAGUUGUACCAUUGCUUUGACCCUGAGACUUUUAACUAUGACUCAGUUAAUGGACAGAAUCCUCCAAAACCCUCAGAAGUUUCUAUCUAUCAUGCCUCCUGCUAACAUUUGUUUUACUCCUCCUUAAUCUGAGCUGAAGAUCUGCACACUCCUUUCUCAUAGAGAUUGACAACUGAUGAACUCUGUCAUGUUUUGAUAAGGAAAAAAUUAAGGAUGAUAUGCAUGCCUGAUUUUUGUAGCACUGUGAUAUGGAUGCUCAAUUCCUAGGAAUCGGGAGUGAGUGAUUCAGCUAGCAGUUUGAGAACCACAACACAUUUGCUAAAGUGUGAAGGCCAAAUUAAUUUUAUGCAUGGAAAUUCCAGGGCAGAACAAGAAGAGAUCCUGCUAAUGAUAUGGUCCAACUUCCUCAGAAUAAUCACUUAUAGAAAAAGCAAAGUUCUACAUGGUAGUGGAGAAAAUGUCUCUAGUUCCUGCCUUGAAAUUCAUAUUUGUUGACUCCUCCAUUCUCCCUCACUGAAAAUUACAUAGCUUGAUUACUACUAUAUGCUUAAAAUCUGCAUUUGUUCUUAUUCCCUGUAAAAAGUCAAGUAAUCUGAUUUUAAGGAUAAAUGGGUUCAGAAGUCACUUCCGUUUUAUUUUCCAGAUGUACUUUAAGGAUAGUACAUUCUACAUAAUAUGUAGUAAGAAUAUGUAUUGUAAAACAGUAGGUAUCACGCGAUAGAUUAUAAAAGAGAUGAACAAACCAGGAUGUUAAGACAACCUUCUGAAAGAUAUAAUUCAAGCAUUCAUUUUAUAACCAUAUAAUUACAUAUUUAUCACUCAUAUAAUUAGCUAUUCUGAAACAUACAUACAUGUAUCUUUUUCAAUUUACUAAGUAUUUUGACUCUUUAAGAUAAGUAAUGUUUAUAAUUUUAAGGCAUUUAAAGUUAUGAGCCAUUCAUUUGAAGGACUUUACCAGGAUUUACUUAAUUAGUUCUCCUUGACUGGUGCUCACAUGGUGAUGAACUUAUUGCUACUUUAAGGAUCAUGGCAAUCAGUAUGUUAUUGUAGUUACCUCUUCAUUGGAUUAUGUCUUCAAGAAAGACCUUAAAUACCUAGUCAAAGUAUGUACAAUGCUAGACUCAGAUGAACAAUUGUCAUACUAAUUUACAUCUCUAUCAACAUCAUCUACCAUGAGUACUCCUACUUGAAGGGCAAAUUUGUUGAAGAAAUGAGACAUAUCAACUCUCUGAAAUGUGAGAGUGAACAGGGAAGGUUUUAUCAUGGCUGAAAAUAAUUCCAGUUAUUCAUAUCACUCUAAAACCCCGUUUCCUUUAGCAUAUAAUUUGACAAAUUAUAGAAAAUACUAAUUAGAUUUUCUACAAACACUAAGAAUUGAAUGAGAAUUGUCUGCCUUAUUGUGGAUGCCUAAUGACCAUGUUAAUUCGUAUAUUCCCAUUUGAUAUAUUAAAAUAUAAAAAUGAAUGCAUGUUUUAUAAAGAUUAAUGGUAUUUUUUUACUAAAGUCAUUCCAAAUUUUAGAUAUAUUUAAUAUGAUUUAAACUGUUUAGAUUUUAUUACUCUUCUUUUUUUUUUUUUUUUUUGAUUAUGAGAAAGUGUUUCUCUGUUGUCUAGAACUCACUCUGUAGACCAGGCUGGACUCAAACUCAGAGAUCUGCCUGCCUCUGCUUCCUGAGUUCUAGGAUUAAAGGUAUGAGCUAUCAUUGCCUGGCUGGACUUUAGUAUUGACCAAAAAUUUUAAUUAUGUUUGGUGUGACAACACUAGGGUCAACAUUACUGUGGUUAUCAAAACUUUCAAUGUAAAUGCUUUCCUCAGAUAAUAUAAUCCCAAGAUGGUUAUGAUUCUUCUUUUAGCUAAUAUCAUCCAAAGAAGGCCAUGACUCAGUGAACAUCCUAGUGAAAGAAGGACUGAGAGAAGGUCAGAUAAAGUCUUCUUCCUCCAAAUGAGUCAGUAUCAUCCUGGCAUUGGGUGAUGAUGUGUUUUUAAUGAAUACCAAUGGGAAAAGUGCUUUGAAGUAUAUCGAGUUGAUGAAUUCAGAGUAUCAAAGGAUACUAGUUCCAUGAGCACUGAUAUCGUCAUGAAGAGUAAAGCUAAUUGCUCUGAUAAUUGUCAGAGAAAGCUGCAAAGAUUUCAACUUAAUAAAUUCUGAACGUUGAGGUAAAUGGAGAAAAAAAUCAAGUUUGCAUUUUUUUCAAUAUAGAAUGCAUAACAUUGCCAUGCAUACAUGUUUUACGGGACCAUGGUAACAGAGUGGAGUUCUGUCCUCUGCUACAGUCUCCAUACAUUUCAUACACUGGCAGCUCUGAAUACAUCUUCUAUUAAAAGCACAAGUGUGCCCCCUUCUGAAUAAAAGAAAUAUUGAGACCUAUAUCUGUACUUCAAAUAACAAUGUCUCUCCUCUUGGGAUCAAACUGAAUAAAUAAAUGUUGG
rnacentral:lncRNA from 1 species